AUUGAACGCUGGCGGCAGGCCUAACACAUGCAAGUCGAACGAGUGGCGGACGGGUGAGUAAUGUCUGGGAAACUGCCUGAUGGAGGGGGAUAACUACUGGAAACGGUAGCUAAUACCGCAUACCAUCAGAUGUGCCCAGAUGGGAUUAGCUUGUUGGUGGGGUAACGGCUCACCAAGGCGACGAUCCCUAGCUGGUCUGAGAGGAUGACGAGCCACACUGGAACGGAGACACGGCCCAGACUCCUACGGAAGGCAGAGGUGGGAAAUAUUGCACAAUGGGCGCAAGCCUGAGGCGGCCAUGCCGCGUGUAUGAGGAAGGCCUUCGGGUUGUAAAGUACGUUCAGCGGGGAGGCGUUACCCGCAGAAGAAGCCCCGGCUAACUCCGUGCCAGCAGCCGCGGUAAUAC
rnacentral:rRNA from 1 species